GACGAACCGUGCGAACGUUAUUCGGAAUCACUGGGCUUAAAGCGCGUGUAGGCGGGUGACCGCGUCGGUCGCUGAAAGCCCCCGGCUCAACCGGGGGAUGGCGCCGAAACGGGUCGCCUGGAGGGGCGUAGGGGGACCUGGAACUUCCGGUGGAGCGGUGAAAUGCGUAGAGAUCGGAAAGAACACCAACGGCGAAAGCACUCUGCUGGGCCGACACUGACACUGAGAGACGAAAGCUAGGGGAGCGAAUGGG
rnacentral:rRNA from 1 species